UACAGGAGGUGGCAAGCGUUGUUCGGAAUUACUGGGCGUAAAGGGCGCGUAGGCGGCCCACUAAGUCAGACGUGAAAUCCCCCGGCUUAACUGGGCGGGGUCAGCGGAUACGGUCGAGCUUGAGCAAGCUAGGGGGCAAUGGAAUUCCCGGUGUAGUGGUGGAAUGCGUAGAUAUCGGGAGGAACACCAGUGGCGAAGGCGGUUGCCUGGGGCUUUGCUGACGCUGAGGAGCGAAAGCGUGGGUAGCAAACAGG
rnacentral:rRNA from 1 species